rnacentral:rRNA from 1 species
UGCGCAGACGGUUUGUUAAGUCAAUUGUUUAAUUCCUCGGCCUAACUGAGGAUCAGCAGUAGAAACUGAUAAGCUAGAGUAUGAAAGAGGGAAGUGGAAUUCUCGGAGUAGCGGUAAAAUAGCGUAGAUCUCGAGAGGAACACCGAUGGCGAAGGCAGCUUCCUGGUUCAUUACUGACGUUCAUGCACGAAAGCGUGGGGAGCAAACA